AACCUGAAGCAACAUAUUUUAGGCGCUUUCUGCUCAAUGAUUGUUAAAUAGCCGCAGUACCCUGACUGUGCAAAGGUAGCAUAAUAAUUUGGCUUUUAAUUGGAGUCUGGUAUGAAUGAAAAAAUGGGGAGAUGCUGUGUCAGUUAAAUGUAUUUAAUUUAAUUAGAAGGUGAAAAUGCCUUCGCUUAUAUAAUAGACGAGAAGACCCUUGAAAUUUGAGAUAUUAAUUUUGUUGGGGCGACAAAGUAGCAUGGUAAACCUACUUUUUCAAUAUGUAUUAGUAUUUAAAGAGAAAUAAAAUUACUCAAGGGAUAACAGCAUAAUUAUAAGUAGUUUGUGACCUCGAUGUUGGAUUAGGAAUAUCUAGCCCAGAAGGUCAAGAUUUUUGCUCUGUUCGAGCGGUUUUUCCU
rnacentral:rRNA from 1 species